UUGAACGCUGGCGGCAUGCCUCACACAUGCAAGUCGAACGGUAGAGGGGCAACCCUUGAGAGUGGCGAACGGGUGAGUAAUAUAUCGGAACGUGCCCAGUCGUGGGGGAUAACGCAGCGAAAGCUGCGCUAAUACCGCAUACGAUCUAUGGAUGAAAGCGGGGGAUCGCAAGACCUCGCGCGAUUGGAGCGGCCGAUAUCAGAUUAGGUAGUUGGUGGGGUAAAAGCCCACCAAGCCGACGAUCUGUAGCUG
rnacentral:rRNA from 1 species